rnacentral:rRNA from 1 species
CAGUCGCCGCGGUAACACGAAGGGUGCAAGCGUUACUCGGAAUUACUGGGCGUAAAGCGUGCGUAGGUGGUGGUUUAAGUCCGUUGUGAAAGCCCUGGGCUCAACCUGGGAAUUGCAGUGGAUACUGGGUCACUAGAGUGUGGUAGAGGAUAGUGGAAUUUCCGGUGUAGCAGUGAAAUGCGUAGAGAUCGGAAGGAACAUCUGUGGCGAAGGCGACUAUCUGGGCCAACACUGACACUGAGGCACGAAAGCGUGGGGAGCAAACAGGAUUAGAUACCCCGGUAGUCCCUGUCUCUUAUAC